rnacentral:lncRNA from 1 species
ACAGUGAUGUGACAUGCAGCUUUCAAGACAACUACAGAAAUUCCAGUGUAAAAACUGAAGAGUUCAAUCAAGAAACGACUUAUGUCAAUGAGGCUUAAAUUCAAUUUUAACCAGUGGUGAGAGGCACAGUUGGUGAGCAGACCUCUAUGGAAUGCAAACACGUAUUUGAAAGGCCUACAAAGAGAACUCCAACUUCGGAAAUACUGUAACUGCUUUUGCAUUUGGUAUGACACCACACCGUUUAUAAUAGCACCUAGGAAAUUUCAUAUUGCAUUUGGACGACUGCAACAGAUAUCAUUAUUCUGGAUGGCCUUUCUAAAGAAACAUUUCCAACUUGCAUGUCUACUUGUAUCUUCAUUCCUUAAAAUGUUGAAAACACCAGGUAAAUUGUGGUGUUUUGUAGGCAGCAUGAGGCUCGACAGAAUGAAACCAUCAGAUUACUUCGAAGGUGUUGUAGUGCAUUCAG